rnacentral:rRNA from 1 species
CCUACGGGGCGCAGCAGUAGGGAAUAUUGCUCAAUGGGGGAAACCCUGAAGCAGCAACGCCGCGUGGAGGAUGAAGGUUUUCGGAUUGUAAACUCCUUUUGUUAGAGAAGAUAAUGACGGUAUCUAACGAAUAAGCACCGGCUAACUCCGUGCAAGCAGCCGCGGUAAUACGGAGGGUGCAAGCGUUACUCGGAAUUACUGGGCGUAACGAGCGCGGAGGCGGGAUAGCAAGUCAGAUGUGAAAUCCUAUGGCGUAACCAUAGAACUGCAUUUGAAACUGGUAUUCUAGAGUGUGGGAGAGGUAGGUGGAAUUCUUGGUGUAGGGGUAAAAUCCGUAGAGAUCAAGAGGAAUACUCAUUGCGAAGGCGACCUGCUAGAACAUAACUGACGCUGAUGCGCGAAAGCGUGGGGAGCAAACAGGAUUAGAUACCCGUGUAGUC